GACGAACGCUGGCGGCGUGCUUAACACAUGCAAGUCGAACGGAAAGGCCCUGCUUUUGUGGGUUUCUCGAGUGGCGAACGGGUGAGUAACACGUGAGUAACCUGCCCUUGACUGUGUGGUAACUUCAGGAAAAUGGGGCUAAUACCGGAGAGAAUCUCCUGCUGCGUGGGGGUGGUUGGAGAGUGUCGGCGGUUGUGGAUGGACUCGCGGCUUAUCAGCUUGUUGGUGGGGUAGUUGCGUACCAAGGCUUUGACGGGUAGCCGGCCUGAGAGGGUGACCGGCCACAUUGGGCCUGAGAUACGGACCAGACUCGUACGGGAGGCAGCAGUGGGGAAUAUUGCACAAUGGGCGGAAGCCUGAUGCAGCAACGCCGCGUGCGGGAUGACGGCUUUCGGGUUGUAAACCGCUUUCGCAUGUGACGAAGCGUGAGUGACGGUAAUGGGUAAAGAAGCACCGGCUAACUACGUG
rnacentral:rRNA from 1 species